UAUGAACGCUGGCGGCGUGCCUAAUACAUGCAAGUCGAGCGAACAGACGAGGAGCUUGCUCCUCUGACGUUAGCGGCGGACGGGUGAGUAACACGUGGAUAACCUACCUAUAAGACUGGGAUAACUUCGGGAAACCGGAGCUAAUACCGGAUAAUAUAUUGAACCGCAUGGUUCAAUAGUGAAAGACGGUUUUGCUGUCACUUAUAGAUGGAUCCGCGCCGCAUUAGCUAGUUGGUAAGGUAACGGCUUACCAAGGCAACGAUGCGUAGCCGACCUGAGAGGGUGAUCGGCCACACUGGAACUGAGACACGGUCCAGACUCCUACGGGAGGCAGCAGUAGGGAAUCUUCCGCAAUGGGCGAAAGCUUGACGGAGCAACGCCGCGUGAGUGAUGAAGGUCUUCGGAUCGUAAAACUCUGUUAUUAGGGAAGAACAAAUGUGUAAGUAACUAUGCACGUCUUGACGGUACCUAAUCAGAAAGCCACGGCUAACUACGUG
rnacentral:rRNA from 1 species